UGAGCCAAAAUAAGUCUUCCCUCCCUGAAG
rnacentral:piRNA from 1 species